rnacentral:tRNA from 1 species
GGGAAUGUGGUUCAGUGGUAGAGCGUUUGCCUUGCAUGCAUGAGGCCCUGGGUUCAAUUCCUCAGCACCA